CAGAGUAUAGGGGUGUAGUUAAAGGUGAGUGAGGGGGAGAGUAGAGUAUAGAGGUGUGGUUAAAUGUAAGUGAGGGGGAGAACAGAGUAUAGGGGUGUAGUUAAAGGUGAGUGAGGGGGAGAGUAGAGUAUAGAGGGUGUAGUUAAAGGUGAGUGAGGGGGAGAGUAGAGUAUAUUGGGUGUAGUUAAAUGUAAGUGAGGGGGAGAACAGAGUAUAGGGGUGUAGUUAAAGGUGAGUGAGGGGGAGAGUAGAGUAUAUGGGUGUAGUUAAAUGUAAGUGAGGGGGAGAGUAGAGUAUAGGGGUGUAGUUAAAGGUGAGUGAGGGGGAGAGUAGAGUAUAGAGGGUGUAGUUAAAGGUGAGUGAGGGGGAGAGUAGAGUAUAGAGGGUGUAGCUAAAGGUAAGUGAGGGUGAGAGUAGAGUAUAGGGGUGUAGUUAAAGGUGAGUGAGGGGGAGAGUAGAGUAUAGGGGUGUAGUUAAAGGUGAGUGAGGGGGAGAGUAGAGUAUAGAGGGUGUAGUUAAAGGUGAGUGAGGGGGAGAGUAGAGUAUAUAGGGUGUAGUUAAAUGUAAGUGAGGGGGAGAACAGAGUAUAGGGGUGUAGUUAAAGGUGAGUGAGGGGGAGAGUAGAGUAUAUGGGUGUAGUUAAAGGUGAGUGAGGGGGAGAGUAGAGUAUAUAGGGUGUAGUUAAAUGUAAGUGAGGGGGAGAGUAGAGUAUAGGGGUGUAGUUAAAGGUGAGUGAGGGGGAGAGUAGAGUAUAGAGGGUGUAGUUAAAGGUGAGUGAGGGGGAGAGUAGAGUAUAGAGGGUGUAGCUAAAGGUAAGUGAGGGUGAGAGUAGAGUAUAGGGGUGUAGUUAAAGGUGAGUGAGGGGGAGAGUUGAGUAUAGGAGGUGUAGUUAAAGGUGAGUGAGGGGGAGGGUAGAGUAUAUAGGGUGUAGUUAAAUGUAAGUGAGAAGGAGAGUAGAGUAUAGGGGUGUAGUUAAAGGUGAGUGAGGGGGGAGUAGAGUAUAGGAGGUGUAGUUAAAGGUGAGUGAGGGGGGAGUAGAGUAUAGGAGGUGUAGUUAAAGGUGAGUGAGGAGGAGAAUAGAGUAUAGAGGGUGAAGUUAAAGGUGAGUGAGGGGUGAGUAGAGUAUAGGGGUGUAGUUAAAGGUAAGUGAGGAGGAGAAUAGAGUAUAGAGGGUGUAGUUAAAAGUGAGUGAGGGGGAGAGUAGAGUAUAGGGGGUGUAGUUAAAGGUAAGUGAGGGGGAGAGUAGAGUAUAUAGGGUGUAGUUAUAUGUAAGUGAGGGGGAGAGUAGAGUAUAGGGGUGUAGUUAAAGGUGAGUGAGGGGGAGAGUAGAGUAUAGAGGUGUGGUUAAAGGUGAGUGAGGGGGAGAGUAGAGUAUAUGGGUGUAGUUAAAUGUAAGUGAGGGUGAGAGUAGAGUAUAGGGGUGUAGUUAAAGGUGAGUGAGGGGGAGAGUAGAGUAUAUGGGUGUAGUUAAAUGUAAGUGAGGGUGAGAGUAGAGUAUAGGGGUGUAGUUAAAGGUGAGUGAGGGGGAGAGUUGAGUAUAGGAGGUGUAGUUAAAGGUGAGUGAGGGGGAGAGUAGAGUAUAUGGGUGUAGUUAAAUGUAAGUGAGGGUGAGAGUAGAGUAUAGGGGUGUAGUUAAAGGUGAGUGAGGGGGAGAGUAGAGUAUAUGGGUGUAGUUAAAUGUAAGUGAGGGUGAGAGUAGAGUAUAGGGGUGUAGUUAAAGGUGAGUGAGGGGGAGAGUUGAGUAUAGGAGGUGUAGUUAAAGGUGAGUGAGGGGGAGAGUAGAGUAUAUGGGUGUAGUUAAAUGUAAGUGAGGGUGAGAGUAGAGUAUAGGGGUGUAGUUAAAGGUGAGUGAGGGGGAGAGUUGAGUAUAGGAGGUGUAGUUAAAGGUGAGUGAGGGGGAGGGUAGAGUAUAUAGGGUGUAGUUAAAUGUAAGUGAGGAGGAGAGUAGAGUAUAGGGGUGUAGUUAAAGGUGAGUGAGGGGAGAGUAGAGUAUAGGAGGUGUAGUUAAAGGUGAGUAAAGGGGUGAGUAUAGUAUAGGGGUGUGGUUAAAGGUAAGUGAGGGGGAGAAUAGAGUAUAGAGGGUGUAGUUAAAGGUGAGUGAGGGGUGAGUAGAGUAUAGGGGUGUAGUUAAAGGUAAGUGAGGGGGAGAGUAGAGUAUAGAGGGUGUAGUUAAAGGUGAGUGAGGGGGAGAGUAGAGUAUAGAGGUGUAGUUAAAGGUGAGUGAGGGGGAGAGUAGAGUAUAGAGGUGUGGUUAAAGGUAAGUGAGGGGGAGAGUAGAGUAUAGGGGUGUAGUUAAAUGUAAGUGAGGGGGAGAGUUGAGUAUAGGAGGUGUAGUUAAAGGUGAGUGAGGGGGAGGGUAGAGUAUAUAGGGUGUAGUUAAAUGUAAGUGAGGAGGAGAGUAGAGUAUAGGGGUGUAGUUAAAGGUGAGUGAGGGGAGAGUAGAGUAUAGGAGGUGUAGUUAAAGGUGAGUAAAGGGGUGAGUAUAGUAUAGGGGUGUAGUUAAAGGUAAGUGAGGGGGAGAGUAGAGUAUAGAGGGUGUAGUUAAAGGUAAGUGAGGGGGAGAGUAGAGUAUAGGGGUGUAGUUAAAGGUGAGUGAGGGGGAGAGUAGAGUAUAGAGGUGUAGUUAAAGGUGAGUGAGGGGGAGAGUAGAGUAUAGAGGUGUGGUUAAAGGUAAGAGAGGGGGAGAGUAGAGUAUAGAGGGUGUAGUUAAAGGUGAGUGAGGGGGAGAGUUGAGUAUAGGAGGUGUAGUUAAAGGUGAGUGAGGGGGAGAGUAGAGUAUAGGGGGUGUAGUUAAAGGUAAGUGAGGGGGAGAGUAGAGUAUAGAGGGUGUAGUUAAAGGUGAGUGAGGGGAGAGUAGAGUAUAUGGGUGUAGUUAAAUGUAAGUGAGGGUGAGAGUAGAGUAUAGGGGUGUAGUUAAAUGUAAGUGAGGGGGAGAGUUGAGUAUAGGAGGUGUAGUUAAAGGUGAGUGAGGGGGAGGGUAGAGUAUAUAGGGUGUAGUUAAAUGUAAGUGAGGAGGAGAGUAGAGUAUAGGGGUGUAGUUAAAGGUGAGUGAGGGGAGAGUAGAGUAUAGGAGGUGUAGUUAAAGGUGAGUAAAGGGGUGAGUAUAGUAUAGGGGUGUGGUUAAAGGUAAGUGAGGGGGAGAAUAGAGUAUAGAGGGUGUAGUUAAAGGUGAGUGAGGGGGAGAGUAGAGUAUAGAGGGUGUAGUUAAAGGUGAGUGAGGGGGAGAGUAGAGUAUAGAGGUGUAGUUAAAGGUGAGUGAGGGGGAGAGUAGAGUAUAGGGGUGUAGUUAAAGGUGAGUGAGGGGGAGAGUAGAGUAUAGAGGUGUGGUUAAAGGUAAGUGAGGGGGAGAGUAGAGUAUAGAGGUGUGGUUAAAGGUAAGUGAGGGGGAGAGUAGAGUAUAGGGGUGUAGUUAAAGGCGAGUGAGGGGGACAGUAAAGUAUAGUUUUUAUAUAGUGUUACAGAUAAGAAGAGAAGAGAAGAAGCAUCUUUUUGCUUUUAUGCAGCAAAGAAAUGGCUCAGACAAGCAGCAUCAG